rnacentral:lncRNA from 1 species
AUCCUCACCGUCAUGGGCGUCAACAAUUCCCCCUCCAAGUGCGCCACCGUCGGCAUCCAGGGCAUAGCCUGGUCCUUCGGCGGCAUGAUCUUCGCCCUCGUCUACUGCACCGCCGGCAUCUCCGGUACCCCCACUCUUCCUCCUCCCUCUGCUUCGAUUCUUGGCAGUUCUUCCUCUGUUUUGCUUUGUUUUUCUUGUUGUGUGCUAACUGCAAAGGGGCGUGUGGCGACUGCAGGAGGGCACAUCAACCCGGCGGUGACCUUCGGGCUGUUCCUGGCGAGGAAGCUGUCGCUGACCAGGGCCGUGUUCUACAUCGUGAUGCAGUGCCUCGGCGCCAUCUGCGGCGCCGGCGUCGUCAAGGGGUUCCAGUCGGGGCUGUACAUGAGCAGCGGAGGCGGCGCCAACGCCGUCGCUGCCGGCUACACCAAGGGCGAUGGCCUCGGCGCCGAGAUCGUCGGCACCUUCGUCCUCGUCUACACCGUCUUCUCCGCCACCGACGCCAAGAGGAACGCCAGGGACUCCCAUGUUCCCGUAAGUGCUCCUCCUUGUUCGAGUAACAUGUGGUUUCAUUUUCCUGCCGUGCUUCAUGAGUUCUGAUUGUUCAAACAGAUCC